rnacentral:rRNA from 1 species
UACGGAGGAUCCAAGCGUUAUCCGGAUUUAUUGGGUUUAAAGGGUGCGUAGGCGGAAUGAUAAGUCAGUGGUGAAAGCCUGCAGCUUAACUGCAGAACUGCCAUUGAUACUGUCAAUCUUGAGUACAUUUGAUGAGGGCGGAAUGUGUCAUGUAGCGGUGAAAUGCUUAGAUAUGACACAGAACACCGAUUGCGAAGCAGCUCUCAAAACUGUGAACUGACGCUGAGGCACGAAAGCGUGGGGAGCAAACAGG